CUCCUCCUACAUCACCCCCUAACUCCUCCUUCACCUCCUCCUCCUCCUAACUCCUCCUACAUCACCCCCUAACUCCUCCUUCACCACUCCUUAACUCCCCCUCCACCACCUCCCAUCUUUUGCUGAGUUUUAUUAUCCAUCCUUCUCAGAGGUCCGAGGAUGUUGCCUAGAGACACGCACAAACACGCCCCUUUUCCUCGGACGGCGAACUCGCCAUCUCGGUUGAACUCAGUGGUGACCGAGCAAAAUUCCGAGACAGAAUUCAAGAUGGCUGCACCCAGUGUGACUUGAAGUAUGAACUGUUUUCAUUGUGCUUGGACCACUUUGGUGGUUUAAAUGGCAAUUUCAAUCACUCGUAUUACUGCAAUACCUUACUGCGUCCGUAUCUCUGCCUAUGGCCUAUAGCCUACUUAUUUUGGAGCGCCUGGUCCUCUGCCAAUGCUAACGCGACAACAGCUUUCCGGGUGGCGCCAUGUUUUCCUUCAACGACGGUUUGCAGAGAAUACUCAAACGCAGCAUUUUCCUCCUAACUCCUCCUCCACCAUGCCCCACCUCCUCCUAACUCCUCCUCCACCACCUCCAACCUCCUCCUAACUCCUCCUCCACCUCCCUCCUCCUCCUAACCCCUCCUCCUCCACCUCACGCCUUCUCCUCCUAACUAAUCUUCUGUGGGUGGUGGUUCAGGUUUCUGGGCAGCAGACGGAGCUCCUCCACCUAACCCCACCGGCCCCCGCUGUUUCUCUGAGCUCAAACUCCCUGGACCCGCCCUCUCUGCCGAGGAAGGGGAGGAGUCUCAUGUUGCCGUGGUGAUAUCAGCGGACAGGAGAGGAAACCAAAGGGGCUACAUUUUUAUACAGACACUUUUCGUGCUCUACGACUUCGUAGAACGUGAACUACGCACUGCCAGGCUCACAGCGAUCGGACGUUCUCUGGUCAGCUACUAAACACUACAGUAGGGCUAUCUUCCUGCACUGGUCUGUUGGUCUGAGACGGUCUCUGGUCAGCUACUAAACACUACAGUAGGGAUAGGUUCCUACACUGGUCUGUUGGUCUGUGACGUUCUCUGGUCAGCUACUAAACACUACAGUAGGGCUAGCUUCCUACGCUGGUCUGUUGGUCUGAGACGUUCUCUGGUCAGCUACUAAACACUACAGUAGGGCUAGGUUCCUACACUGGUCUGUUGGUCUGAGACGUUCUCUGGUCAGCUACUAAACACUACAGUAGGGCUAGGUUCCUACGCUGGUCUGUCGGUCUGUGACGGUCGGACAGCCAUGAGGCAACGCCCAGUGCCUUCGGUGUUCUUACAGGAGUUGUCGCUUCACAGCCACCUCUCCGACCAAUCAGAGGAACCGGAUACACCGGCCCAUACCCCGUGUCGGUUCUGGUUGGCUGUACGAUGUUUCAUACGAUUUCAUUGCCCUGUACGAUGAUUAAUGUCUUUUUGUUCGGAUGUACGAUGUUUAAUGUCUUUUUUUUUUUCCGGGUUAUGUUGAAUAUGUUUUUGCUCUAGGAUCUGUUCUUCAGCUCUAAAAGGUUUAAUGCUAAAUGUUAAUGUAGUGUAGCACCGUAAUAUUGCUCUAUAUGUUCUAUUGUUGCCGUAGUUACCAUGGAUUCACACUUAUCCACGAUGGGAUAUGUCGUCUGUAAUAAGUUAUGGUACUUCAACAGGGGGAUUCAUGAAUCCUAUUUCAGCAUUUGUUUGGAGACAUAAGGUUAGCUGGUGGCUAGCAAAUACUAGCCUAUCCAGUUAUACAAGUGAUCCACAAAUACCAGCGAACGCUCGGAUCAGAAAGGCUUGAGAGGAGGAAGACGAUGGGGGUGAUGAUGGUGUAAAGCUUCAGUUUGUGUAUAGUUGUGAUGUGAUUAAAUAUGUUAUUAUUUACAGCCGAUGGUACAGUCAUGUUAUUCGACACCUACACUGUUCUCCGGGCCUGCCUCAUUUUCGUAUAUUGUAUUGUUUUGCUUCCUGGUUUGGAAGCAAACAAAGCUGGGAGUUUUGUGCGGAAGUAAAGAUACCCGAGUCCUCCGGUUUCAUGUCUUAGCCUACAAACUUCUUAGGGGCGUUUUCUGAACUCUUAUUUCGGAAGAAUGGACGGUUUGCGCAAAAACAUGUCAGAGCUUCAGAACCUCGGAGCUGUUUUGAAGGCAGCAUUACAUCACGUUCUGGUUCUUUGUAUUUUCUUACUUCCUGCUUGUGUGAUGUCAUUUCCUGGUUGUUUGUGAUAUCACUUCCUGGUUCUUUGUAUUUUCCUACUUCCUGGUUGUGUGUGAUGUCACUUCCUGGUCCUGUGUUCUUUCUUCUUGGUUGUGUUGUGUAUGUGUUGGGUGCUAGUGGGAUUCACGUGAGGCAGAGGAAGUGUUUCCUAAAAUAAAAUAUAUCUUUGAC
ensembl:lncRNA